GAUGAACGCUGGCGGCGUGCCUAAUACAUGCAAGUCGAGCGAACAGACGAGGAGCUUGCUCCUCUGACGUUAGCGGCGGACGGGUGAGUAACACGUGGAUAACCUACCUAUAAGACUGGGAUAACUCCGGGAAACCGGAGCUAAUACCGGAUAAUAUAUUGAACCGCAUGGUUCAAUAGUGAAAGACGGUUUUGCUGUCACUUAUAGAUGGAUCCGCGCCGCAUUAGCUAGUUGGUAAGGUAACGGCUUACCAAGGCAACGAUGCGUAGCCGACCUGAGAGGGUGAUCGGCCACACUGGAACUGAGAUACGGUCCAGACUCCUACGGGAGGCAGCAGUAGGGAAUCUUCCGCAAUGGGCGAAAGCCUGACGGAGCAACGCCGCGUGAGUGAUGAAGGUCUGCGGAUCGUAAAACUCUGUUAUUAGGGAAGAACAAAUGUGUAAGUAACUAUGCACGUCUUGACGGUACCUAAGCAGAAAGCCACGGCUAACUACGU
rnacentral:rRNA from 1 species